rnacentral:rRNA from 1 species
AGAUGUCUACAUUAGAUACCCGGGUAGUCCCAGCCGUAAACUAUGCGCGCUAGGUGUCGGCCACGGUGCGACCGUUGUCGGUGCCGUAGGGAAGCCGUGAAGCGAGCCACCUGGGAAGUACGGCCGCAAGGCUGAAACUUAAAGGAAUUGGCGGGGGAGCACCACAACGGGUGGAGCUUGCGGUUUAAUUGGAUUCAACGCCGGAAAUCUUACCGGGACCGACAGCAACAUGAAGGCCAAGCUGAAGACUUUGCCGGAUUAGCUG